rnacentral:tRNA from 1 species
GGGGAUUUAGCUCAGCGGUAGAGCGCUUGCCUAGCAGGCACAAGGCCCUGGGUUCGACCCCCAGCUCUG